GACGAACGCUGGCGGCGUGCUUAACACAUGCAAGUCGAACGGAAAGGCCCUGCUUUUGUGGGGUGCUCGAGUGGCGAACGGGUGAGUAACACGUGAGUAACCUGCCCUUGACUUUGGGAUAACUUCAGGAAACUGGGGCUAAUACCGGAUAGGAGCUCCUGCUGCAUGGUGGGGGUUGGAAAGUUUCGGCGGUUGGGGAUGGACUCGCGGCUUAUCAGCUUGUUGGUGGGGUAGUGGCUUACCAAGGCUUUGACGGGUAGCCGGCCUGAGAGGGUGACCGGCCACAUUGGGACUGAGAUACGGCCCAGACGCGUACGGGAGGCAGCAGUGGGGAAUAUUGCACAAUGGGCGGAAGCCUGAUGCAGCAACGCCGCGUGCGGGAUGACGGCCUUCGGGUUGUAAACCGCUUUCGCCUGUGACGAAGCGUGAGUGACGGUAAUGGGUAAAGAAGCACCGGCUAACUACGUG
rnacentral:rRNA from 1 species